AUCCAGCUGACGAGUCCCAAAUUGGACGAAACGCUCAUCGUGUAU
rnacentral:hammerhead_ribozyme from 1 species